rnacentral:rRNA from 1 species
GGGCCCGCACAAGCGGUGGAGCAUGUGGUUUAAUUCGAUGAUACGCGAGGAACCUUACCAGGGCUUAAAUGUAGUCUGACAGGGGUGGAAACACCCCCUCCUUCGGGCAGAUUACAAGGUGCUGCAUGGUUGUCGUCAGCUCGUGCCGUGAGGUGUCAGGUUAAGUCCUAUAACGAGCGCAACCCCUGCCGUUAGUUGCCAGCAUGUAAUGAUGGGAACUCUAACGGGACUGCCGGUGCAAACCGCGAGGAAGGUGGGGAUGACGUCAAAUCAUCACGGCCCUUACGUCCUGGGCUACACACGUGCUACAAUGGCCGGUACAGAGGGCAGCCACACCGCAAGGUGGAGCGAAUCCUUAAAACCGGUCUCAGUUCGGAUCGGGGUCUGCAACUCGGCCCCGUG